CAAGAACAAGCGAUAUUGCUAGAAAUGUGCCGAAUUGGUCGUUGAAUAUAUCAUAAGCACAAUUGUAUAAGUACUAGUACCAAUAUGUACGUACUUUUUCCCCCAAAUUUAUUUUUUGUUUUGUUUAACCGAUUGUUCGAAUAAAUUUAAUUUAAUAAAAUAAAAUUUUAGUAAUUCCUAUUUACCACACUGUUAAUAUUGCGAAAUUUUGUAAUUUAUUAUUAUUAAUUAUUUAAUUAUUGUGCCCUAUGUAUAUACGGUAUACAGGCAUAGACAAAUUGUAUGUCGUAUGUAUGUAUAAACAUCCGAAUUAUUUUCAAGCUACAAAUAAAGCGGGAAAAAAUAAAUGAUAUGCUAUAUGGUCAUAACUGGAAAAUUUUUCUUAUUAAGUCGGUAUAAAAAAAUAAGGAUUCAAAAUUCUCAAAGGACACAAAAAGAAAAAUAAAUGGUUUGUACGAUAAAAAAAUUUUGAAUUUAAAUUUUGGAGAGACAGCGUCGAGACGAUUCCCCACGGCCCCGUGGUUGCCAAAAAAUUAAGUGAAUAGUUAAAAAUUAGUUUGCCUUUGUUAGGUGAAUAAUUAUUUAAACGUUGUGAUUACCGAUAAAGGAAUGUUUUCGCGCUUUUGUAGAUUGUAACGAAAAAACCGACAAAGCUAUUGCAGCUUUAAUUUGCAAAACAUUGGAAAAUACAACAUUACUUUGGAAGAUCACCGCUACGAUAAGGGCUACGAUAAUGAUAGUAAAAUCAAUGGUAAAUAUGAAGGUGCGCAAAAUCACAUCCAACGUAAAAAUAAGUAUGUAGUUCUUUCGCCCUCACGCUGAAUUUGGCUGGAGUCGACUCGGCUGAAUGCUAUCCUAGAGCAAUAACUUCUUUUUUGGUGUAACGUUAGGAAAUUCUGAAAUCCAAAAUACCCAAUUCACUCCACUGUCCAAUACAAGGGGGUCUGCCAGAAUCGAUACCGUCAAGCCAUUUGCGAAAAAUCUUCCCGGAUUGGUAAAUGCUUUGAAAGAAGUUAAUAAACUCAACCUUACGGGAUCGUGCUUUUUAUGGCCUCCAUAUGGUUGAAAAUCCUCAAUCAAUGAAAGAAACUUAGUUCUUCAAGAGAUCAAUGCCACCAUCGACGCUAAAGUUAGAAGUAUAUAAAGCCUUCUUGUGGAUUUGUAAUUUCUGCCCGAAAAAAACACGGAAACGACCUAAAUGAAGAAGUGUAUUAAUAUUGCAGUAAAGAAUAAAUUGAAUUCAAAAGAAAUCGUUUUCAUUUCUAUGGCAGUUCCAGGUUAUGAAAGAAGAUAAACUCAACACAACUACAAAAAAUUUGAAAAAACUGUAUUCCGUUGAUGUACCUGAUAAGUUCUCCUAUGAAGCUAUUCAUCUCAGACAUGUUUACGAGGCACAUUUUUAAACGCGUCUUACUCCAUAUAACUUAUUAAAUGUCAUCAUUUGUCAUCAUUGCUCAAAAAUUAUGAAAACCUAUCCCAAAUAUUUGCAUCGCUUUGAGUAUAUUUUGCACUUUAGUCGUUUCUAUUUCAAAUAGUGAAAUAGUGAUAGUUUAGUGCUUUAGCAAGGAUCAAACAUUUUCAUCGAUCAUGCUCGUCACAGGGCAGGAUUUCUGGACUAGUUACACUGCGCCUUGAGGCAGAAUUAGUUAAGAAAUCCAGACUAUUAUCGACGCAAUCGAUGUCGCCAAAGCUCGAAAAGCUCACUUCUAAGUUCCAAAAAAUUUAAAAUUGGAGGGUUUUAACGGCAUGUCUUGUCAUCUGGAAAAAUAUUUUUGACUGUCUAUGUACAAAGCUGUGCGAUCAUGAUGGGCAACGAUCAUCUUUCAAAACAGGCCAAUGAGAACGCCACAUUGUUUUUUCAAUGUUUGAUGGGCUCCACACUUUGCACGAAGUAUGUAGCGGAGGAGUUCCGUCUAUCGGCCGAGACGUUGAUUGGUGAUAUUGAAACGCGUUUUCAGCAAGCAUUAGCACACCCUGGCGAAAUAGUGGGCUGGUAGCGCAAAAUUGGGUGAACGUGAUAAACAGUGUUUUUAGAUGACAAUCAACACUUUACAUUUUGCUAAUGUGCCAUAAAAUAACGUAACAUUGGGUGUGCCGCAUCUAAAGGAAAUCAUGUUUUUUUUACGCAGAGGACUGUCAUCUCGGAGGAUCAAGAAUUCGGAAAUGUCUACUAUGAGAUGUCCGAUUUCAAUACAACACACAUUUCGCCAUAGUUGCUGCGUAUCGAAUUGAAAUAUUCCAAGUGUUGGGCAUAAAGGCUGUGCGUAAAUCGGUUGAGGAAAUGAAUGCUGUACUGCGGUUCUACGUCUUGUACGUGAACUAUCGUCAUUUGACAGCUUACUGAAUACAAAUAUUUGCAAAUUUCGAUGGAAAGUUCUCAAGCUGGACUUCAAUAUCAUCAUUUUAGUUUUUAAAUUAUAAAAUUUAAGUUUCCUA